rnacentral:tRNA from 1 species
GCAGGCAGGGAGUGGUUGAAGGCGGCGCUCUCGAAAAGCGUUAUACCGGUUUCCGGUAUCAGAGGUUCGAAUCCUCUCGCUUCCGCCA